UACGAAGGGGGCAAGCGUUGUUCGGAAUUACUGGGCGUAAAGGGCUCGUAGGCGGCCAACUAAGUCAGACGUGAAAUCCCUCAGCUUAACUGGGGAACUGCGUCUGAUACUGGAUGGCUUGGAUUCGGGAGAGGAAUGCGGAAUUCCAGGUGUAGCGGUGAAAUGCGUAGAUAUCUGGAGGAACACCGGUGGCGAAGGCGGCAUUCUGGACCGAUAUUGACGCUGAGGAGCGAAAGCCAGGGGAGCAAACGGG
rnacentral:rRNA from 1 species